rnacentral:rRNA from 1 species
UACGUAGGGUGCAAGCGUUAUCCGGAAUUAUUGGGCGUAAAGAGCUCGUAGGCGGUUUGUCGCGUCUGCUGUUAAAACUGGGGGCUCAACCCCCAGCCUGCAGUGGGUACGGGCAGACUAGAGUGCGGUAGGGGAGAUUGGAAUUCCUGGUGUAGCGGUGGAAUGCGCAGAUAUCAGGAGGAACACCGAUGGCGAAGGCAGAUCUCUGGGCCGUAACUGACGCUGAGGAGCGAAAGCAUGGGGAGCGAACAGG